AUCAGCUCAAAUUUGAAAUCUGGCUCUUUCAGAGUCCGAGUUGUAAUUUGCAGAGGGCGCCUUGGUGUCGGCAGCGGUCCAAGUUCCUUGGAACAGGACGUCACAGAGGGUGAGAAUCCCGUACGUGGUCGCUGACCUACACCGUGUAAAGCCCCUUCGACGAGUCGAGUUGUUUGGGAAUGCAGCUCUAAAUGGGAGGUAAAUUUCUUCUAAAGCUAAAUACUGGCCAGAGACCGAUAGCGCACAAGUAGAGUGAUCGAAAGAUGAAAAGCACUUUGGAAAGAGAGUCAAACAGCACGUGAAAUUGUUGAAAGGGAAGCGCUUGCAGCCAGACUUGCUUGUAGUUGCUCAUCCGGGCUUUUGCCCGGUGUACUCUUCUGCGAGCAGGCCAGCAUCAGUUUGGACGGUUGGAUAAAGGCCUCUGUC
rnacentral:rRNA from 1 species